CCACAUGUUUCGUUUAAAUAACUAUGUUUCUGCCAGGGUGAAUCAAUAGGACAUUUGCCAGUACUUUUCUUUAAUCGACAUUAUUUUUAACAUUUUAUAAACGCCCUGUUUUGUUCUGGCUCACUUGACAGUGCACAGCUGUGUGAGCAAGCCACUCAGGAAGGAGGAAGGUGAUGAAAGUGUCAAUAGCAAUUACCCCAUGCUGCUCAGCUAACAAUGGCAUAAAUGUUACAUGGGAUUUCAGUCCUGGCACAAAUAUACAGUUCUUGUCAUUUUACCACCGUGGUUUACGUUGCGACAGUCUUCCCAUCAAUCAGCAUCACUCUGAGAGCAGACAUUGUACAUUGCACAUGGUUGCGGUUGGUGUGAUGUCGGGAUGCAGAGAAGACAGUAACAAGUCCUUUCGGGAAAAGAGGAAGCACCAGCGUGACGAAAGAGGCAGAUGACAGGCAGGUGUAUCCCCUGAUCUCUCAUCAAGAGCAGGUGUGUACGUAAGCGUUUAGAACCGGAGGUGAAGUCACAAGCAAGACAGACCAAAACCAGGAAGAGGCACCAAAAUUAGAGC